rnacentral:rRNA from 1 species
UACGUAGGGUGCGAGCGUUGUCCGGAAUUAUUGGGCGUAAAGAGCUCGUAGGCGGUGUGUCACGUCGGCCGUGAAAACCUGCAGCUUAACUGUGGGCGUGCGGUCGAUACGGGCAUCACUGGAGUUCGGCAGGGGAGACUGGAAUUCCUGGUGUAGCGGUGAAAUGCGCAGAUAUCAGGAGGAACACCGGUGGCGAAGGCGGUUCUCUGGGCAUUACC